CGUGCUACAAUGGACAAUACAAAGGGCAGCGAAACCGCGAGGUCAAGCAAAUCCCAUAAAGUUGUUCUCAGUUCGGAUUGUAGUCUGCAACUCGACUACAUGAAGCUGGAAUCGCUAGUAAUCGUAGAUCAGCAUGCUACGGUGAAUACGUUCCCGGGUCUUGUACACACCGCCCGUCACACCACGAGAGUUUGUAACACCCGAAGCCGGUGGAGUAACCUUUUAGGAGCUAGCCGUCGAAGGUGGGACAAAUGAUUGGGGUGAAGUCGUAACAAGGUAGCCGUAUCGGAAGGUGCGGCUGGAUCCCCUCCUUUCUAAGGA
rnacentral:rRNA from 1 species